UUGCUAAUACGCUUUGGCCCCAAGGAAAUCUCACCUUCUGUGAUACGGUCUCUACCUUCAUCAAGCAUAUGAAAGACUUGGAACGAAUUAUAGUGCGGAUGAUAUUUCUUGGUUUGGGUAUCGGAAAGUACUAUGAUUCUUAUACAAAAUCAACAAUCUAUCUUACUCGAGCAUCAGAGUACGGGACACCUUCUGACAAGAAAAGUGACGUGAUCUUAUCUGCACAUGUCGAUCAUAUUAUCGUCGCAAUAAUCGGCCAGCAUCAAGAAGGACUUGAAAUACAAACAAAAGAGGGAGAAUGGAUCCCG
rnacentral:misc_RNA from 1 species